CGAGACCUCAGGUCAGGCGGGACUACCCGCUGAGUUUAAGC
rnacentral:rRNA from 1 species